GAACCUGCGGAAGGAUCAUUAUAGUAUUCUAUUGCCAGCGCUUAAUUGCGCGGCGAUAAACCUUACACACAUUGUCUAGUUUUUUUGAACUUUGCUUUGGGUGCAUCAGCCUAGCUGCGUGCCCAAAGGUCUAAACACAUUUUUUUAAUGUUAAAACCUUUAACCAAUAGUCAUGAAAAUUUUUAACAAAAAUUAAAAUCUUCAAAACUUUCAACAACGGAUCUCUUGGUUCUCGCAACGAUGAAGAACGCAGCGAAAUGCGAUACGUAUUGUGAAUUGCAGAUUUUCGUGAAUCAUCGAAUCUUUGAACGCACAUUGCACCCUCUGGUAUUCCAGAGGGUAUGCCUGUUUGAGCGUCAUUUCUCUCUCAAACCUUCGGGUUUGGUAUUGAGUGAUACUCUGUCAAGGGUUAACUUGAAAUAUUGACUUAGCAAGAGUGUACUAAUAAGCAGUCUUUCUGAAAUAAUGUAUUAGGUUCUUCCAACUCGUUAUAUCAGCUAGGCAGGUUUAGAAGUAUUUUAGGCUCGGCUUAACAACAAUAAACUAAAAGUUUGACCUCAAAUCAGGUAGGACUACCCGCUGAACUUAAGCAUAUCAAUAAGCGGAGGAAAAGAAACCAACAGGGAUUGCCUCAGUAACGGCGAGUGAAGCGGCAAAAGCUCAAAUUUGAAAUCUAGCACCUUCGGUGUUCGAGUUGUAAUUUGAAGAUGGUAACCUUGGGUUUGGCUCUUGUCUAUGUUCCUUGGAACAGGACGUCAUAGAGGGUGAGAAUCCCGUCUGAUGAGAUGCCCAUUCCUAUGUAAGGUGCUAUCGAAGAGUCGAGUUGUUUGGGAAUGCAGCUCUAAGUGGGUGGUAAAUUCCAUCUAAAGCUAAAUAUUGGCGAGAGACCGAUAGCGAACAAGUACAGUGAUGGAAAGAUGAAAAGAACUUUGAAAAGAGAGUGAAAAAGUACGUGAAAUUGUUGAAAGGGAAGGGCAUUAGAUCAGACUUGGUGUUUUACGAUUAUCUUCUCUUCUUGAGUUGUGCACUCGUAUUUCACUGGGCCAGCAUCGAUUCGGAUGGCAAGAUAAUGGCAGUUGAAUGUGGCUUCACUUCGGUGGAGUGUUAUAGCUUCUGCUGAUAUUGCCUGUCUGGAUCGAGGGCUGCGUCUUUUGACUAGGAUGCUGGCGUAAUGAUCUAAUGCCGCCCGUCUUGA
rnacentral:rRNA from 1 species